rnacentral:rRNA from 1 species
UACGUAGGGGGCAAGCGUUAUCCGGAUUUACUGGGUGUAAAGGGAGCGUAGACGGCGAUGCAAGCCAGAUGUGAGAGCCCGGGGCUCAACCCCGGGACUGCAUUUGGAACUGUGUGGCUGGAGUGUCGGAGAGGCAAGUGGAAUUCCUAGUGUAGCGGUGAAAUGCGUAGAUAUUAGGAGGAACACCAGUGGCGAAGGCGGCUUGCUGGACGAUGACUGACGUUGAGGCUCGAAAGCGUGGGGAGCAAACAGG